rnacentral:rRNA from 1 species
AUUGAACGCUGGCGGCAGGCCUAACACAUGCAAGUCGAGCGGAGCGGCGGACGGGUGAGUAAUGCCUAGGAAUCUGCCUGGCAGUGGGGGAUAACGUCCGGCAACGGGCGCUAAUACCGCAUACUUUCAGUUGAGCCUAGGUCGGAUUAGCUAGCUGGUGGGGUAAGGGCCUACCAAGGCGACGAUCCGUAACUGGUCUGAGAGGAUGAUCAGACACACUGGAACUGAGACACGGUCCAGACUCCUACGGGAGGCAGCAGUGGGGAAUAUUGGACAAUGGGCGAAAGCCUGAUCCAGCCAUGCCGCGUGUGUGAAGAAGGUCUUCGGGUUGUAAAGCACUUUAAGUUGGGAGGCGUUACCAACAGAAUAAGCACCGGCUAACUUCGUGCCAGCAGCCGCGGUAAUUC